GAUGAACGCUGGCGGCGUGCCUAAUACAUGCAAGUCGAGCGAACAGAUGAGGAGCUUGCUCCACUGACGUUAGCGGCGGACGGGUGAGUAACACGUGGUUAACCUACCUCUAAGACUGGGAUAACUUCGGGAAACCGGAGCUACUACCGGAUAAUAUAUUGAACCGCAUGGUUCAAUAGUGAAAUACGGUUUUGCUGUCCCUUAUAGCUGGCUCCGCGUCGCAUGAGCUAGUUGGUAAGGUAACGGCUUACCAAGGCAACGAUGCGUAGCCGACCUGACAGGGGGAUCGGGCACACUGGAGGUGAGAGACGGCACAGACUCCUACAGGAGGCAGAGGUAGGGAAUCUUGCGCGAUGGGCGAAAGCCUGACCGAGCGACGCCGGGUGAAUGAUGAAGGUCUUCGGAUGGUAUAACGCUGUUAGUAGGGAAGAACAAAUGUGUAAGUAACGAUGCACGUCUUGACGGUACCUAGACAAGAAGCCACGGCUAACUACGUG
rnacentral:rRNA from 1 species